UCUCUUUUUCGAAACACACACUCUUCUUGGAAAACAAUGCCCUGAAAACCCUAACAUAGAGCUCAUGACGCUAACAGCGGCGGCGCUUUUCACCCAAACACAGAGCUUAUCGCCGGCGCUCUCACUCUCUCCUCGAACAACACUUGUUGGUCAACCUCCCUCCAACCCUCUAUCGUAACCCUUCAGUUGGUGCUACCUCUGCCAGUCCUCCCUGCGUCGACACUCCUUUUGUCUCUCCUGUAAACCCAUAUCCCUCUUUCAACGGUGACUCUCUCUGGUAAGGCCUCCCUCAGCGCUCACUCUCUAUCGCAAACCCUCUGUCGACGCUCACUCUCUCUCGCAAACCCUCAAUCGUCACUCCUCCCUCCAUGGCUCAGCACCCGUUGCGUUGUCCUAUCCCUCUCUGAAGUCGUCGCGCCGCCAUCUCCCUCUCCCUCACUCGUUGCACCUCCGUCAGCCACUUUUAGCGUUCACAGCGCCGUGGGAAAUUAUUUGGUCAAAUUUUUCCUUGAUUUAAUUAUUUAUUUUUGAAUUUGAUUUUUUGUUUUGAUAUUCUUGGUUCUUCAUUUUUUUUAUUUUUCUAAACUUCUAUUUUUUGUUCUGUUCUUUCUGUUGCAGCUGUGGUAGUGCUCAACUGCUGCUAUGUGGUACUGAACUGCUAGUUUUAAUUCUUACCAGUUGUGAUUUGUUUAAAAGCAACACUUAUAUCCACCUUAAGUGAUUUGUAUAUUAUUAGUUGUGCUUUUUAGGUUUCUUUAAAUUGGUAGUUUUGGGUUUGAAAUAGUUAUUGUUGUGUAUCCUUUAUUCCUAUCUUGUAUCAUAUACGUAUGCUCAACAUAAUUUGUUGAUAACUAAGGUUUUUAAGAGGAUUGGAGAUUGGCUUUUAAUCAAGUUUGUAAAUACUAAAUAAAACGUUGAAAAAAAUGUGUACAUAUACUUAUAUAUAACAAUGAAUGAUCUUUGUACAAUCUAUUAUUAUUGCCUCUCAUUUCUACAAGAAAAAAUCUUAAGUUCAUGAGCAGGGCACUUCAACAUAAUAUCUAAAACUUAACUGUUCUUUUGUGUUUUAUGAAUUUAAAAUGGUAGGAAACUUAACCUUUAUUUUUUUAGAUCAUAUGAUUAUGAAGUCAUUUACUUUACUAUGAGAUGCUUAUUGGAAAUGUUAGAUAUUGAUACAAAUUGGCUUGCUGAGAUAAGAACAAAAGUUGUAUGCACCUAAUUAAAAUGUCAAAGAUAUCUCUUUUCUCUCUAUAUAUAGGGCUGCUGCAAUUCUAAGAGCCAAAGGUGGGACUUUUCUCCAAAUGAAAUUGGUUUAAAAUCACUUGGCUCAUCCAUCUCCUUCUGUUCUUGCAAUGGAUGGAUUGUUCUUGUACAUGCUUUCUACAUAGUUAUCUCAACUUGUUCCACAUACUUGUAUACAAAGGAUAUUGAAAGAUUGAUAGAAGUUGGGGAUAAUUUGGUCUUGGCGAUUUUUAUAUAUACUUAUUUUUACAACACCACCCGAUUUUGCAGUGUGGUGUUUUCACUGAAGGUGGUCACAGCGUGAAUUUUUCACUCUGAUCAUUGUGCUGACAGCGUGAUUUUGAAGUAUCCAAUGAGAGAAUGAUGCCUAUGAUCUUUUCUACAUCUCCCUUGUCACCAAGUUGCCUGGGAGGAUAUACUACAUAGAUAUAAAAGAUCCAAAGCCUCCAAAUGUGCAAGCUGCUAUGACAGGUGUCGUGCUAUGCGGCACUCUAGCAGGCCAACUUUUCUUUGGUUGCCUUGAUGACAAGAUGAGAAGCAUAAAUUACUUUCAAGGGUUGAACAAAAGCGUGACUGUUAGUGGUUUAUGAAUAUAGGUGAACCAGAACCAUUCAGAAACAAGAAACAAGUAGUUGAAGCCAUUGGUGGUAAUCCAUUUUCAGGUGUUUCCCAUGCGAAUGUUUCUCCAUAGGACACCAAUUCAGGGUUUCACUCUAUCACGUCAAUUUUCUGACUGGCUUUUUGGAUCUGAUCCUCGACAGGCAAUUAAUUUGGUUAAUGAAACUCUGCUAUCAACUGGAAGUGGAAGUUUGAAUGUGGCUAGGAGGGAUGCUGAGAAUCAAUGACAUUUCUUAAUUCUCUUAGAAAUUUAUUUUUGUUUAUGUUUGUAAAUUUCAUGUACGCGGUCGUUGCAUAUAUAGAAAUGACAUGGCAAAUUUGGUUUGAAUUCUACUAAUGUAAUACAAAUUUCUAUUUAAUUUUUUAAAAAAGAUGCACAUUUUUGUCGA